ensembl:lncRNA
CUUGUUUAUUUCAGCAUUUUUAUUAGAUUUAAAGAGGAAAAGUUAAUUGGACACAACUAGCUUCUCUCACCAAAUAAAAAACCCUCAACACCACCAAACACAGAGGAGGAAAAGUAUGCAUUUUAUGUCAAAAUGAAUUUGUUUUAGCACAUCAGUUAAUGGAGACAGCCAAAGUCUUCUGAAAACUCAUACUUUCGAUAAGCUGCAUCUGAGACUCCCCCCAUCCCUCUCCUGCUGUUAUUCUUGUGUGUAACGAUACUUAGAGCAGGCAAAUGCUAUUCAGGAGAAUUCACACGAGCUGACAGAAAUGAGUGUUGAUGGCUCUUUUCAAAAUAUCAAGGAGUAUGAUAUUUUGAUACCUUCACUUCAAAACAAUGCUCAAAGCACUGAAAAAGAAAGCAUAUCUCUAACUUAUCGUCAUUAUGCUGAACUGACUGUCAUUCUUUGGAGACUCUUCGAAGGCAUUGUUCAUAUUUAUCAAGGUAUGUCUUACCCCAUGAGGAGCAUGUGAGAUCACUCCAUUGAUGUCGUCAGCUCCAAGCUAUUGGGUUUGGGAGGAUUGUUCAUUGCUCAGGCUAGUGGACUGGAAGGAGCUAAUUUGAUUGACUUUGAACAUCAAGUUUCCAUGCUGGAGGUCCAUGGUGCCUUGACAGUCUCGACGAUCAUGGUCAGUGAGCUCAUCAGUGGCUAGUCAGGUUGCACCUGACAUACGUCAAUGUCUAGAACAACAAUACACGCUAACAUUAGCUAAUGCCCAAAGUGAUGGUGAUUUGAAUGAAUGGAGCAGAUUUAAAUUUAUGUGUGCAAAUAUGAAUUGUAAUGACAGUUCUGAACCUAAUGAUUCCCUCCUGACCUCAGCUCAAACAAAGCCAAUGUAUUUGGACAUGUUAUUUCAGAAGAACAUAAAUGAUGUUGCUAUUUACCAGAAAGAACAUUAUUUUCAUAACAGUACCCUUAAAAUAGUCGUUAUGUCUGUAGCUGUGGCUCACAACAUAUGCAGAUGGGGACCAUAUGCUCAUGGGGACCUGGGUUCAGGUCUGGCCCGGGUCAUGUCACAGACCUGUUUCACAGCCACAUCUUUCUUACUUUACUAUCCUGUUGCCUUUUCACUUUACAAUAAAUAAAUUAAAUAAAAAUGUUUAAUAAUUAAAUUAAAUAUAUAAAAUAGUAUAAAGUAUAAAUAUAUAUUUGUUUUUAUAAUAUAAAUAUUAUAUAUUUAACACUGUAGCAUGCAAAGUACUAAAUACUAAAUAUAUUUAAUAUCAAUAUAUUAUUAUUAUUAAAGCUAGAACAGCUAGAAAAUUAUAAUACAAUUCUGACAACUUGCAUAUGAAUAAAUCUGUUUGCAUUUACCAUGUUGAAUGUUUUAUUGCAUAAUACAUGUAUUUUUUUUUUUUUCUAAUGUAUGUGGCUUUAUCUAAAAGCAUUAUAUUAAUGCUGUGAUAAUGAGUCAGAGACGUUCGGAUCCAUUUGCAGUAGUAUUUAUUAGAGAAUGGUCAGACAAGAAGUAAUCAGAUAACAGCGUCAAAGUAUGUCAAAGGAUAUCCAGAAUCAGAAACAAUACCAGGCAGAGGUCGGGGCAGGCAGCAGAUGAAGAAUCGAGAAUCAGUGAACAGUCAAAGGUCAGAUACCAGGGAAUCAACAAUGUAGAUAAACGCUCGGAAAUGUUAGCCGGGGCAGAACAAGACUUCGCAAAGUGCAAGAGUCCGGAGGCAGUUUAUAUAGAGGGGUGAAGUGAAAACAGCUGUGCAGGUGAUCAGACCUAGGUCCGGGGCUGAUGGGAAAUGUAGUUCAAUACUCAGGUGACGGUGUCCUUCGGUGAUCAGAAGGACACCGUCCUCCCUGCGAGCGGCUCCUGAAGCUAGGACCAGUGCGAUGCCGAGGUCUUCCACAGGAUAUGGGGGCAGGUCUUUCAGGGUGGUUCUGAUGAAACUCAGCGGUAAGUCCUGUGAUCUCACCCAGGAUCUCUCCUCUGGACCAUACCCCUCCCAGUCGAUCAAGUACUGUAACUCCCUGCCUCUGCGUCUUGAGUCAAGUAUCUCCCUCACUCGGUAGGCCUCCUCGCCGUCGAUGAUGAUGGGAAGGGCGCUCUCUCCCGCGACCUCAUCCUGGUCCCUCUCUCCUCUCAGAACACUGGCAGGUUUGAGCAAGGAAACAUGAAAGAUCGGAGAAAUGCUAUAAGCGGAUGGCAAGGCUAGACGAUAUAAAACAGGGAUUAUUUGUCUGAGAAUCUUAAAAGGACCCACGUACCUAGGGCUUAGCUUCUUGCUGGGAAGUUGAAGAUGAAGGUCCUUGGAUGAUAGCCACACCCACUGUCCAGGAGCAUACUGGGUCCCCUUCUCCGAUGACGAUCAGCCUGUUCUCUGACUCUGCUAACUGCUCGUUGAAGGUGUACGUGAGCAUUGUUCCAUGUCUCCUCACUUCUCUGUAACCAUGUAUUAACGGCCGGGAGAACUGAAGGCUCCCCGGACCAGGGAAACAGAGGGGGUUGGUAUCCUAGUACACAUUGGAAAGGGGUGAGGCCCGCAGAGGGUUUGAGCAAUGCGUUCUGGGCGUACUCGGCCCACAUGAGGAAAUGGCUCCAGUCUUGCUGGUUCUGAUGACAGUAGGUGCGUAGAAAGCGUGUGAGUUCCUGAUUUAGCCUCUCCACCUGUCCAUUAGACUGUGGAUGAUAUCCGGAGGUUAAACUGACGUUGAUAUUGAGUUGACCACAGAAUGCCUGCCAAACCCGGGAGGUGAAUUGGGGUCCCCGAUCCGAGACUAUAUCCUCAGGUAACCCAUAAAUUCGGAAGACCUGCUGUAUUAAAGCCUCCGCUGUCUGCAAAGCUGUGGGUAGUUUGGCCAAGGGAAUGAAUCUGCAAGCCUUGGAGAAUCAAUCAACCACUGUCAGAAUGGUAGUGUAGUUCUGGGAGGGGGGUAGAUCUGUGACAAAAUCAAUAGCAAUAUGGGACCAUGGGCAUUGUGGCAUAGGUAGUGGCUGAAGUAAUCCAGCUGGUUUCUGAUGGGAUGAUUUGACAAUGUUGCAUGUGGUGCAUUAAUGCACGAAGGUGAUCACAUCGGCCUGGAGUGUAGGCCACCAGAAAUGGUUCGUCACAAGGUGAGUGAUGGCGAUGAUCCGGGAAGUCCAGCACUGGGAGUAUUAUGCACCCAUUGUAACACCCGUGUGCGAAGGCACAGUGGCACGUAUGUGCGAUCUGGGGGGCAUUCGGGCGGUGAUUGCUCUCCCCUCUGUGCUGCUGAAAUCUCAGUCAUGAUGUCUCACUGUACCAGGGCUAGAAUGAGUGUCGCAGGAAGUACUGGAUCUGAUGUGGGGGAACUAGGGGAAUUUUCAAACUGACGAGACAGAGCAUCGGCCUUGCCGUUCUUGGAGCCUGGGCAAUAUGUGACCUUAAAAUUGAAUCGAGUAAAGAAGAGGGACCACCUGGCCUGUCUGGGGUUCAGUCAUUUAGUUUGCAGAAUGGUAGGCACAGGGGAAAAGUUUAGCUGGACUUCCAUGCCGCUGUGACAGUAUUGCCCCGAUUCCUGUGUUGGAGGCGUCCACUUACACAAUGAAUUCCCGUUCGGGAUCUGGAUGAUGCAGAAUGGGAGCUGUAGUGAAUUUCUCCUUGAGCUGUUUGAAUGCGGCAAUACUCUCGGAUGACUAGUUUAAACGCUGUCCACCCCCUUGAAGUAGAGAUGUGAGUGGCGCUGCCGUGAUGCAGAAUAGAUUAGAAUAUCGUCAAUGUAGACAAUGAGAUUUUUGUUUAGCAUGUCUCGGAAGACCUCAUUCACAAAUGCCUGGAAUACUGAGGGACUUUUGGCGAGCCCGAACGGCAUCACGUGAUAUUCAUAGUGCCCGGUAGUGGUUGAGAAGGCUGUUUUCCACUCGUCUCCCUCCCUGAUCCGAAUCAGAUUAUAAGCAUUGCGAAGGUCCAACUUUGUUAAGUAUCUUGCGGUGUGGAGCUGUUCUAGGGUGGCUGGAACUAACGGAAAUGGAUAACAAAACUUCACUGUGAUCUCGUUAAGACUGCGAUAAUUGAUACAGGGAUGUAGACCGCCAUCCUUUUUCUUUACGAAGAAGAAUCCGGCAGAAGCGGGGGAAGUGGAUGGUCUAAUGAAUCCCUUUGAGAGUUGUUCCUCGAUGUACACUUUCAUGGCGUCGGAUUCAGGUUGAGAGAGGGGAAAAAUUCUUCCCCGUGUGGGAAUGGCUCCUGGGAUGAGGUAUAUCGCACAGUCAUUGGCUCUGUGAGGGAGAAGCUGAGUGGCCCUACUCUCUCUGAAGGCUAGAGCGAGAUUGUGGUAUUCUGCAGGUAUGUUUAGGAGAUCUGGAUUCUCGGUGUGGGUGGAGAUCAGAGUGACUCUAGUGAGAGGGUGCAGGCAUUCCCUUUGACUGGUUUUGGACCACUGGAUUAUCUGUUUUUCAGUCAAUGAUAUAGUAGGAUUAUGCUUCUCAAGCCAGGGCAGACCUAGAAUUAUGGGGUGUCAUGGGGAUUCAAUGGUGAACAGUUAAAUGAUCUCAGUGUGCAGGGUGCUCGUGCUUAGGGUGACUUCUUGAGAGAUGUAUUGGAUCUUGUCGGUACCCAAAGGACGUCUGUCGAACGCUGCCACUGCCACCCGGGAUUUACAUGGAAGGAGAGAAAGAUUAUGAGCUUUAGCGAAUGACAGAUCAUUUUCCAUAUGUGGGAAAUGACAGGUGCCCCCCCCCCCCAUAGAGCCGUUGCUCAAUCCAGAGCCCUUCCACUCAACAGUGAGCAGACGAAUGAUACUCGGCUGUCCUCGGUAGGAUAGAGGUUCGGUUGCUGGUUGAUGAAUAGAGAACAUUGCAAAAGGAAUCCCUUACACUUUGCAGAUGAGCCAUCAUAUUUGUCAGGGAGGGACAGACGAGGAUUGCUAAGGGGAGUGCUCACACUCUGAAUCAGCUGAACUGGAGAUGCAGCGGGAGGAGCUGAGGUGGCUGCCUGUGUAGUAAGUGCCUGCAUUGAUCUCACUAACUCCUCGGUCAGCGAGGUCAAUUUCAUGAGCUGUUGCUGGUGAGCAGCCAGCAUAGAGGCUUGAGAUGACACCUCUGAGGUGAGACGAUACAUGGCUGCUGGAUCCUGUGUUGGUGAAGUCUUCUGUGAUGCAGAGUCAGAGACGUUCAGAUCCAAAUGCAGUAGUAUUUAUUAGAGAAUGGUCAGACAGGAAGUAAUCAGAUAACAGUGUCAAGUAUGUCAAAGGAUAUUCAGAAUCAGAAAAACAUACCAGGCAGAGGUUGGGGCAGGCAAAAGACGAAGAAUCGAGAGUCAAUGAACAGUCAAAGGUCAGAUACCAGGGAAUCAACAAUGUAGAUAAAUGCUCAGAAAUGUUAGAUGGGGCAGAACAAGACUUCGCAAUGUGCAAGAGUCCGGAGGCAGUUUAUGUAGAGGAGUGAAGUGAAAACACCUGUGCAGAUGAUCAGACCUAGGUACGGGGCUGAUGGGAAAUGUAGUUCAAUACUCAGGUGACGUGUCCUUCGGUGAUAGGAGAGAGCCACAAAGGCGCGAUCUAUGACAAAUGCAUAUAAAAUUAAAAUUCUGUCAUAAUUUACUCACUCCAAAAUAAGAUAUUUUGAAAACAUGUCUCAGUUUUUUUUUGUCCAUACAAUUAAAGAAAAUAAUAACAGAAUUUUAAUUUUUGGGUGUACUGUCCCUUUAAUUGUCACAAUUUAACAUCAGUAGAGACUAGGUUGACGUCAUUGUUAAAGUAGUUAAAGUCAUCUACACUUACAUGCAUAGGGGAUGUCAUUCCUGAUCUUCUACACAGGUGUCAUGUUAACACUCCCACUUUUUCUAUGUGUCAGCCACAUGCAACUCCCUCUCGGCUUUGUUUCUGCACCUGACAUACAUUUCUUUCACUACUCACAGGCAGCCAUGGUGAUAAUGAGUAUAUCGAUUUCAUGACAAAUCACAAGUGGCAAAAACACCAAGAAAUGCUGCGCAUCCCCAAACUCCUGGCAGUCAUAUUUAUGGUGGGGAGGAUAUGGUCGGCUCGCUCAUCCUGACAGAGGUGUUCUUAUUUGAGGCGGCACAUCUCAUCAUCACACGGGUGCUUGUGAGGCAGAGGACAACUUCAUAAACAUGGAGAGCCGAACCCACUACUCCACAAAUUGGUGUUGUGUAGUGACAUCACUUCAGUCUCUUGGCUGUCUGGUCUCUUGGAUGCGGCCCUCAAAGGAGGUGUUGAAAAGUAAACAGUGCCUAGCUGGAAGGGAAACGAGUGCAUUUACUUCCCACCUCGUGCAUAGCUCACGUGGGAAGUCUGAGUGAAGAUGGUCCCCGGUGGGUUUGCUGACAAACUGGGGGAUCCUACUAGGCACCCAUCCUUCUAGCACUUGACAAAUAAAUGGGAAACACUGUUGACAGCUGUUCACAAUGAUGCAGAAGAGAGGGAAUUGCAUUAAAAGAGUGGCACUCCUGACAGAUAUUGCCCUUUCGUACAAAAAAAGCACAUAAAACAAAGGGGAGGAAAUCUAUUUGAAGGUGCAGCGAGCAACAAGCUGUGUUUUUAAUGCUGAAUUCGGUGCCGCUCAAAUCCCUCCUCCCCAUCCACAAAGCGCUGUGGUGGCACUUCACAAAAUAAAACAAGCUAGCACAUUUGGAGAGCACACUCUGUGCCAGGGGUUUGAUAAGAGUGGACUAAUUGCUGCAAACCAAAGAACAGUGCAGCUUGUCAGCAUGGCAUAUAGCUGGAGGUAGGGUCCAUCCUGAGUCAGUAUGCGUGUGUUAGAUAUUCUGUAUUUAAUUGAAGGGCCCACGGUACACUAGGGGAGGCUAAGGGGAAUUAUUAGGUUUUAACCAGGGGCCUUCUGGGAAAAGGGCCCUAAUCAGGAAGCUGGGGAGCGAGUGGAGGCUGAUGAGAAUUAUGACGAUUAUGACAUGUUAGCACAUGUCUGUAGGACAAGUGGACAGACGAUGAGUUAAUCAAGGGCUCGAUUAAAUGGCUCCCAUGCUGUCAGAAAGCUACCCCCAGCCUUCCGUGUCAACGUCUUCUUUUUAGGGUCAGCAUCUACCUUUAAUGACUUAUGGACGUGUGUGUGUGUGUGUGUGUGUGUGUGUAUAUAUAUAUAUAUAUAUACAUAUAUAUAUAUAUGUGUGUGUGUGUGUGUGUGUGUGUGUGGUUUUAAGUCUUGUAUUACUCAUUGCUUGGUGCCUCAUUAACAAUUCACGUCCAUCAUAUGCAAACACUUUUAUAUGUGCAAAACAGUGACCUUGAGUCAAAGGCAUAGUUCAGAUAAAAAUGAAAACUGUCAUCAUUUACUUACCCUCAUGUCAUUCCAAACCUGCAUGACUUUCUUUAAUCUGCAGAAAAAGGAUCUCAAUGUUUGUAUGAACAAAAAACACUCUUGAAAUUGUGUUUUAACAUAAGGGUGAGUAAAUGGCAAAACUUCACUGUAGAGCAACACUAACAUUUCAUAUCCCAUACUACAUGUACAGUGUGUGUUGAUCUUCAAUUCUUUCAAAUUUUGCAGAAUUACAGGGACCAGCAUAGCUCCUUAUGACAAAUUUUAUGUCCUGUAAUGCUCUGAUUAGGUCAUGCUUUUUACCAGAAGAGAGUGUUUAGCUUUAGGUUGUGUAUUUCUGUAAUUUUCUGUAAUUAGUUGACUGUUUUAUAGAGCCCUCAUUUUCAUUAUCACUGUUGACUUAAAUUUAAGCUUAUAUAUGAUAAAGGGCAUACGUAUUAGCUGUGCUACGCUAAUCAGUCAACGAUGAUAUCUAUAAACAUCAAUUUAAGCAACUGAAACCACUUUUAACUCAUUCAGUUUUUUUUUCUUUUUUUAUCAGAUACCCUUUGUUCAUUGUCUCUCUUUCCUUUUGCGUUGACAACAUUUACAAACUUACGCUUUGAUUGUUUAAUCCGUGACUGAAAUACAGGGUUUGACUGGUAUCAAUCUGCAUGGCAUCUUUUCCUGGAGAAAUAAUGAAUAGACAAAUAAAAGUUACAAAUAUGUGGAAACAGUUUUACAGCACACAGGUUUCUGCUGUGCCUGUCAAUAUUUUUUUGGCAAUACAAGCAUUAUAGUAAGCCGAGCUAUGCUAACCAGUUAUCUGGUUAUGAUUUCUGUGCAAUUCCAUUGAUUCAUUAUCCCUAAAUGACAUUUUCAGUGGAACUAACUGGAAUAUAUGAAUUGCAAACUUGUUUACCAUGUUUUGUUCUUCAAUGUCUGCUCAUUUAGUUUUCUGAAAUGUCUCUUCAUUAGCCAGGCUCAUGUGUUUCUUAGCGUCAAGCUAAUUGAUUGAACCUCUCAUAUGUUAAUCCUCCUUUGGAGGGACCAAUACCCUCUGCACUCGAAUUUACUUUUUUCACCCUAUCACUAAUAAAGCCAACCUCCCUGCUGAUGGAAAAUUGUCGGUUUACCUCAAGCUACAUGGGGCUUAGCAAUCAGGCCUUAAAAAAGCACUGACAGGUUAACCUGCUGUGCACAGGGGUCUCCAGGGACAGGCCUCCACUUCAGUUUUACAUGCAAUGCUUCUGUUUGCCAACAAAAAUAGAGUUGUUACCAGCCACUUGAGUUUAACCUUUGCAGACCCUAGGAAAAACUGGCAUGCUCUAAACUGCUGUAUGCUCUUUAGUUCUAACCUACUUUGUUUAGUUAUGCUGCCUACAGCACUAUUUUUUGCAAAAUCACAGGAAAUGUCACACAUGUGCAUCUCAGUUUCGGGAACCAAUGAAAGAAUUUGAUAUUGGUUAUUAUCAUUACAUAACAGUUUAACCAUCUCGUUGCACUUCAAAUGGAGAUUUUAUACAUUCUAAAAUUACACUGAUCAAUUCUAUAACCAAAACACGACUGUUAUACAGUAUAUGUAGUGUGUCAGGCUUAAACACUUCCUGUGCUAUAAUCUACAACCCUUUACACAUUAUCUUACAAUUUUGGCAUGGUCAUGUCUUUGUAAUGGGCUUUUAGUGGGACAGUUUAGGGUUUUCACAGCAUUUGAAGACAGUCUACAACAAUAGACAGCACAUUCGCAUGCUUGUUCAAGGUGAAGUGGCUGUAACACAGCACUCAGAGUGGGCUCUUUAUUGUUCACUCUCUAACAACCCAUUGUGGGCCACAGAAAAUGUAAAACGUCUUCCACAGAUAUCCAUCAAAGACUUUAUCAUUACGUCUAUAAAAUAUCAAGUUCCUUUGUGAGACAUUGGUGCCUUAUUCUGUAUUUCACCCAGUCUGGUGUGUAUUGUAAUAUGCUUUUCCACGCUCAGCCACGAGUUUUCCUAAUGAUAAUCAUUGAGCAUUACUAACGACUAGCCAUUAGAGCCAUAACCACAGAGCGUUCCAAACUCCUCCUGUGUAGCACAAUGGAUCUGCAUCUAUCUGGGACCUAUCCAGGAGAUAGCGGCAGAAUUAACAUUUAUUGUUUUUGAUAGACUUUUAAGCAGCAAAGGUGUGUGCUUUUAUCAGAUGUUUUAAGAGCUUAACAGAUUUGACAGGCAUUUGAUAUCUUGAUGCCUCCUCAAGUCUCUGGUGAUUAUGUUUGAUGAUGUCAGUGUAUAUUUAGUUUUUCUCUCUUUGAUGGAAUUAUAUUCUACUUUCAUGCAUCAGACACCCCUCUUUAAUGUCUAGCUUCCUUUUUUUCCCAGUUACAACGCUUACAGAAUUACAUGUUUAGCAUGGUUUUUCAAUCUAAACCCUAAAAAUUUGCAGGGCAACAGAUUCCCUUACAGAUAUUAACUAAUCUCUAUAGUAACCGCAUCUUUUCCUAGAAAUAUACUCUUACAAACAGACAUGAAAUAAAUCAUGAAAUGUAUAUUUAUAAUAUUAAAUGAUUAAAACAAGGGUCACACAUCUAAGUAUUGUUAAUAGUUAUAAAUAAAGACAUUAAAAUCAAAUUUUCAGCAAAUACAAGUCACAUUUUCAGCUAGUUCUAGGUUAGCAAAAGUUAAAGGGCCAUUUCACCCAAAAAUGAAAAUUCUGUCUUCAUUUACUCAUAGUUCCAAAACUCUGACAUUUUUCUACUGUGAAACAAGAAGAUAUUUUGAUAAACCUCUCAGUGUUUUUUUAACCAUACAAUGGAAGUCAAUAGUAACCAAAACUGUUUUGUUACCAAAAAGUAAGACAGAAUUUGUAAUUUUGCGUAAAUAUUUAAUAUUUUUAUUCCAUACAAACCAUCCUUGAAUCUAAUAUUAAACGUUCCUCAUGGCAGUUUGCGAUGACACCUCUUUAAAAAAAGAUUGAGCUCACAUGAGUCUUUUUAACACUUUAGUGCGAAGCAAAGUACGAACAACAGGCUAAUAAACACCUUCUCUUCUCUGCCAUGUUGAUCCAGUUGUUGAUAGAGAUUCCUAGGAAUCUCUCCCCUGAGUGCAAUUGUCUGUCACUUAAUUAGCUUAGGUUUAGCACCACAUGGUCCUCAGGUGUGUGUGUGCAUUUGCUCUGGUGUGCUAGUGUCUUUGUAAGUAGGUGUUUGUACACACAGCACUUGUUCAUUGUUUAUUUUUUAACAUAUGGAUGUUUUCGUUUACAUGUAAUAGACAGAGGAGCUUACAUUUGUGUAUUGUCGAGGACCCUGAUAGUGUUUUCAUUCUGUUGUCGGUGGAAUGAAUAGCACCUUGUAGUAAACGCUGUGCUGUUGUUUUGGCUUUUUUCAUUCAUUAAAAAACAUAUUUGAAACUAUUUUUUAUUAGCAUCAGGUGGCCUUUAUAGAAAAUGCAUUCUGGCUAAUAGUUGGAUAACCGUGCGUACAUAUACAUCGCAAACAAAAAUGAAACCACAGUGUCAGCUGAUAUACAUACUACUGUUCAAGUAAAUUGAUAUGAAACUCUUUAGAUUGGAAUUCAAUUUUAUCGACUUGAUGCUGUGCAAGAAUAUUCAUUGCAUCCUUUUAGUCAAUUCAUUUAAUUAUCCCAGUCUUCCUGGGGUGCCUGCUAGAAUCACUGAAUGAAUGUAGCUUCCUCUUUCUGAAAAAUAUAAACGUUGUCAGAUGUGACCAAACCAUAUUUCCUAGCCUCUCAAUUCCGUCAAUAACUGUUAACAUAUACACAGCGGGGGGGGGAAAGCCACACACUGUCACACAUGGGUAACAUGUUGCAAUAGGUAGAAUGCCUUUUCAUUUCUUUUUAAUUUUGCAUAUCAUUGUUAUCAAUUGGUCAGACGUGUAUUUAUGAAAGUAUUUUUUUUCUGUUUUAUUCUUUGUCCCUCCUUACUCUCUUUUCAUCUUUGCUUUGGCUUCCCUGAGGAGCUCUCUUGAAAAAUGCGGCUCAUUUCAUUGUGUGCGAAUGUGCGUUUCCCCCAUUUCUCAUCUCCUCUCAGGUGGUGGUGAAAAUGGCGGCCUAUGGCUGGUCCUGUUUGGCUGGGCCGCCACUAACAAAAGCCAAUGUAAUAUAGAGGCGGCCACAGAGGCCAUGGGCCAGACGGGGAGCCCAAGCUGUGCCUCUGAAAGGGCCUGAGCCCGGCUGGUGUGGCGGCUUAAACAUACUCCACAUUCAAACCCCUGGAAAAAGAGAGGGAGAAAGAGAGAAUGAAGGCUGAAGAGAGAGAGAAAAAGCGGGUGAGAAAGAGAAGGCGACUGUUGUUUGAUAUCCCACAUUAGCUGGUGGUUUUUGCGGCUGGUGCGCGGGCGUAAAUGUGGCUGGGGUGGCUGCCACACAGAUAUCAAAGGGGGCCGACAGCAUCUGGCUGUGCUAGCGGUGGCUGCUGCAGGUGGCCCCUGGAUUCAACCCUCACCACAGGGAGGCAGCUCAGCCCAGCCUUAGCCCAGAAAGAGAUAGAAAAAGAGAGAGAGGGAGAAGGCAAAUACAGGCUUGAAAAGAAAACAAGAGAUUGAGAGAAGCUGUGUUCCUGAGGUUGGGCUGGGAGGUGGAUGGUAAGAGAAUUAAAUUACUGGGCUCCUCAUGCCCUGAUCUGCUGGGCCACAAAAGAACCCUGAAAAACCAGGAUUCACAAAGGAGAACUCAAAAAUUAAGAUGAAAACGCUAACAUUUUUAUACUUUAUAAUAUUCAACAAUUCAUACAUACACACAAAGUCUAUAUUUUCAUUGACAUGGAUAUGACUCUGGCAUGGUUACUCCUGGUUAUGGUGAGCUAUAGAUUAUGGAAGGAAUUGUGAGGGAGAAUUAAUUAUUUAACAAAACUUGAAACAACAAAACCACAGCAUGGGGCAAUGCAGUGCACCAGAGAGAAGGUCUUUUAUUAUGUUAAGUGAGAUUAUUCUGCCUUGCUGAAAUAUGGUAUGAAAAUACCAUAUGAAAAUGGCUGACGCUUCCAGAUGCUUGAUGCAUACUGAAUAUACUGUGCUAAGAUGCUGAUGAUAUGCCUUUCCAAAGAGACUAAAAAGCUAAGUGAUUAAAAAAACAACAAAUGGUUUGGAAAUUCUGAGCAUAUUAAUGUCUUAUUAAUUUAAUUUAGUGGCUUAAUAACUUAAUAAACAUCAUUUAUAUCUUAAUCCUAACAUCAUGAAUUUGAAAAGUUGCCAUUUAAUUCACCCAAAAACUAAAAUUCUGUAAUUAUUUACAUACCUUCAUGCCAUUGACAAAUACAAAAAAAAUAUUUUGAAGAAUGUUUCAUAUAAUAAAAUCAAAACAAUAUUCCAAUGACUUUUUUUUUUUUUUUUUGGAUAAAUGUUUUAUAUAUAUUAUGUCCCCUAGAAAGAUGAAAGUCGAGUUUGAAACAACAGCUACGGGUGACUAAAUAAUGAAAGAAUGUUCUUUUCUUUUCUUUUUUUUUUUUUUUGGUGACCUAUCCCUUCAAUUUAUUAGAAACAUGUUUUAUUGAAAGUACAGAGGUUAUCAGCUGGAUUUAACUUAUUUAACAACAGGACUCAGGUAAGCCAGAUUUUUGAUUUUUAUUUUUUUUUUUGGCCGCAUUACAAUGUCUCUGAAAAAGGUUGUUGAUUAGGGUCAUUUAUGUUAACUGUGUGUUGAAACCUAAUGUCAUACCAAUCAUAUAUGCUCUUCCAUCACAGCUGUGUUCUCCUCAAAAGGCUGAAUAACAGGUACUGUAAAAUUUCCUCUGCAAAUAUUUAUAAAGUCUCAUAUCACAGCUUAAAAUUCGGGCAGAGACAUAUUUUCCUAAUAUAUCCAAAUAUUUCCACAGUGUGUAACAUUGAGUCUAUUGGUUUGAGGCUGGGUGGAAUCUAAAAAUAGGGAAGAAAGUUUGGAAUGAAUGGAAUGGAAUUGGGAGGAACAACUUCCUCUCAAUCAGUAUGACUUCCGAAAUGCAGUGGGAAUGUCUGAGUGCAGAAUCAACCAAUCAGAAAUUUGCAAAAAGGCAGCAGAAGGUGUCAUCUUCAUUGGACCUGACACACAUGCUACUCAAACCAUGGGAGACAAGAUCAGAGGCAAAUUAAUCGCCAAGAUGCCAAGAAGACAGCAAUACAGGAUGAAGUUUAUUUACAUCGCUGUCAACUGUUCCCUGCAUAGCAACAAAGCCAAUGAUUUCCACAUAAGAGCAGUAGGGAGACUCGGGUAGACAGCCCCUCCAGAGCCCGCUGAAGUGAAGCAUUAGUUGGGUAUGUUGGCUGGUCUCGCCCGGCCGCCCCACAGCAGGUUUGAAGCCUCUUCUAUCUUUGCCUCCAUUCAAUAGAAGAGCUGCUCCCCCUGCUGCCUGUCUCAAGCAACAACUUCCUCUUCCCUCACCCCUUUCAAUGGCACCCUUCACAUUUUCUCUCAUUUAAUCCCUAUUUCUUUCUCUCUCUGCAGUGAAACAGUAAGGAUGGUCCUGAUGAUACCCGUUUAGCAGUGGCUGACAUGAGUAGAGGUCUAUCAAGGAGGUCUGUUAAGCUAAUGGCGAGACAGAAACCCAUAUGGGAGGCCUUUUCCUAUGGAUACAGCUGCUGCGUUCCAGCUCUGUAGCUCUACGUUUGUGGGUUCAAUUAACUCAUACUGAUGCUUGCUUAAUUCAAUCUCCUGUUAGAAAUGUUUCAGUGUGCCAACAUAAUAACUGUAAUCACCUUGUCAUCAAGUCCCAUUGAACUCAAUCAUCCGCCUCUGAAAUGCAUUAUUCCCGUGUUUGACAGCCUACAGAGUCUUCAUGUUACUUUGUGUUCAUCUGAUCAUGAUUGAGAGAUUUAAAUGAACUUUUUUUUUAGACCUCUUUGCUGAGGUAGCACGUAUCCCAUGUUAUUUUACAAAUGGUCAGUUGUCAUAAUCUUAAUUUUACUGGCUCAAAGUUUCAAAUUAAGUUGCUCUCUGCUGGUAGGCUUUGCUUUCAGAUGCAUUAAAUUUAUAUGAAUCAACUGUAAAGACAUUUAUAAUGUUGAAAAAUAUUUCUUUAUCAAAUAAAUGCUGUUCUUUUGAACUUUCUAUUCAUCAAAAAUCUUGAAAAAAGGCAUCAUGGUUUCCACAAAAAUAUUAAACAGCACAACUGUUUUCAAAAAUUGAUAAUAAUAAGGAAUGUUUCUUGAGCAGCAUAUUAGAAUGGUUUCUGAAGGAUCAUGUGACACUGAAGACUGGAGUAAUAGCUAAUGGAAAUUCAGCUUUGCUAUCAUAGGAAUAGAUGACAUUUCAAAAUAUAUUAAAAUAGAAAGUUUGUUUGAUGUUUGUUUAUUUAAAAAACAUUAAAAAAAAAUAAUGGGACUCCAAAGUUUUGAACUUCACACAUAUUAAUCAAACUUCACUUGUUCUUGGCUUUGUGUGCUUUGCUUUUAAAAAAAAUGGAGGUGAUGCCUGAUGUGUAUUUAAUUCUUCAAAUAUUCAAUUACACGUUGUGUCAUGUAUAAUAACGGAGCAAGUUAACCUACUGACUGAUGGACACAAUGCUGGAUCUUCUCCUAAUCACUCUUUCGUUCUCUUUAACAGAACCAUGAUGGUACGAUGGCUCUGACAUUCUGUUCAUACCCCCAUCCAUUGAUUGUCUGCACCAUAAGCCCCAAGAGGGAGCUUAUUUGGGCCUGGCUGCAGCAUGCGGGUGUGUUAGGGAGCACAGGGUGGUCCCAUGGACCAGAGAGGGCAGCUAACUGGAGUAAACAGGACUCAGCAGGCUUAGUGUUUGUGUUUACUCUGCUGGAGAGGAGGCCAUUAGAGCAAACAGCCAGCGUUUCUUCACAUGUUGCUGAAAAUCACCCCAACCUUCAUUCACUCCUGUUUGGCACUACUAACACCCAGCCAGUGUGCCCAGAUGGCCCUGCUUUCCAGAUCUCUCACUGUUUCUGCCCUCUCUCCCCUCCCUCAAUGUGCCGUGGCGUCAUUAAAAGUGUCUGUGAGCGGGAGGUGUAAAAAAGGGUGCCGAGAGAGGAAGCAGAAAACAAUUUAGUGGCAUUUAAAAAUAAAGUCCUCCCCCUAUUUACAUGGCCUAUCUAAUCCAAUCUAGGCUGUGUCUGCAUUUUUAAUUUGCACAUUCAAGCAAGCUUCAGAGAGGAACCUAGGCUUAAUUAGUUUAGUUAUCUCCCCUCAUGAAUGGAUAAAGUUCCCACACUGCUGGUGUUUCAGAUGAAGCCUAAUUGGAUUUCGAGGCCAAAAACAAAAGGAGUAAUAAAAGAAAUGAGGGUUAGAUAACAGAGGAAGAUUGAAUUGAUAAAGUGAAAGGGGAAUGAACUGUAGUCACAGCUGAGGAGAGAGACAAGAUGCGGUCGAGAUCCUCGUUUGAGGUCAAAAUCAGUGUAUUAGGGCCAAUGACAUAUGAAGAAAAAUCUUUUUAAAGAAUGAAAAAAAAAUGAAUUGGAAACUCUUAGAAAUGUACUCUUUUCUUAUUAGUUUCAUGUGGUAUAACCAAGUACAAACACUGUGAAGAUGUGCAAAAUAUCUUCUCAAAUAUAUAUGAGUAAUCUUAAUCAUUAUUUCCAAACAAAGUUAGUAUAUAAUAUUAUGUUUAAUAAGUUCAAUAUGUUAUAUUUAACAUAUAAAGUAUUUUUGAAUUUAAAAUUCAUAAAUAUUUAAAUUUUUGGAUAAUCUCCCUGCAUGAUAUUGUACACUUGAUCUCACACUACCUUUCUAAUAUUUAAUCAUAAAUUACUUGUAUAAAUAUUUUAGUUUUUCUUAUUUUUCUGAAUUUUUGUCUUUUAAUUGGCCUUUAUCUUCAUUAUAUCAGGACAGUUGUAUGUGAUGUUUUCUAUGUUUUAUAUAUUACUGAAACAUUUUGCAUUUUAAAUGACACAAAAUUUACAACACCCCCUCAAGACCCCUCCAGGGGUUUCAGUGCAAUUUGCCAGAAAUGGCGCAUUUGAAUAUAAAAUCCAGGCCUCAAGAAAAGUAAGCCCACAUUCGGUUUUAAAUCUCAACCAGUCUUUGCCAGUAUACCGUAAUAAUACAGUUUCGUUCAGCUAGAGCAAAAGUGUCAGCAUGUUUAAAAAUCAUCAUUCUUAAAGAGACAACUGAGCCUGAGUAAAUCAAUUAUUGAACAUUACCCUUCAUUGUGAUAUCUGAUUCGAACAAGGUCAAGGGAAUUAUUAAUAACCUUCUGUUCUCUUUCACAGACACGUUUACAAAUUAGCACUUCUCACAGGCCUGGGACCUGCUUUAUGAAGCCGAGUUUUCGGAGCAGCCUGGAAGUGUGAAAGAGUUCCAGAGGGCAGAGCAUUUGGAGAAGUCUAGAUAAUGAGAGUCUUUUGUUAAUGCCAUUGAUCUCGAUUCAAUUAGUGAAAAGGGCCCAUGUUUGUGACUACUGUGUGCACAGCAUAUGUGUGUUUCUGUAUGUAAUUGACUUUGUAAGUCCUCAAAGAGUAAACUUGUAGCAGUUUCAAACAUUCAAUGUUAUUGUCAAGCACAAAUGAACAGCCAAGUAUGUGUGUCUUUUUUCUGUUUCUGAUUUUUUUUUUUUUUCUUUUUUUUCUUUAGCCAACUGAGCUGGUUUGGGGCUGAUCUUGUGUGAUGUAUAGAUUAAUUAAAUAAGCAUAUUGAUUCCUGUUCUGGCAACACAGAGUGUGGGGUUUUAAUUAGCCCACGCUUGAGUGUGUUAAAAUUCCUGUCUUAUCUGUGUGGAACCAAGUGGAACUAAAAACUGAAUGCAUGAGGGCUGCUCAUCAACUCAAAAUCUCCAAUAACCUUUUUUUCCCCCUUGUUUGUUUUAGUCCAACCCAAACCUCAAACUUUAUUGUAAGUGUAUGAUUUAUAUGCCAACAUUUUCAUUCCCAAUAUUAAUUUUUUUAUCUCCAAGGAAUACAAAAUAGUUAAGUAAAUAAUACAUAUAUAAAACAAACAAUUAUGUAUGUAUGUGUGUGUAUAUAUAUAUACAAAUAUACAAAGACUGUUUUGAGUGAUUAAUCACUCUGAUGUGGUCUUAAUUUUUAAGUUAUUUCUUUCAAAAAAUCUUAUUUGAAACUAAAAAAUAUACUAAAUAUUUUUCUGAUACAGGUUUUAAAAUAUCAAAGUUUUACUUAUAUUUCCUUGUAGUAUUUUUGGAUAUAUAAAUACAGUGAUCCAUAUGACCAUAAUACGGUGGCCAAGAAAUGCAAAACAGAUUACAAUUCUGAAAACAAAAUAACAAAUUACAAAUGCAAACCUAAAAAACAAAAUAACAAUUCAGAAAACACAACAACAAUUCAGAAAAUAUUAUAACAAGUCAGAAAACACAAUGA